CAUGCACGUCUAAGUACAAACUAAAUGAUGGUGAAACUGCAAAUGGCUCAUUACAACGGUUAUGAUGUACCCGGGAGUUCCGAUGGAUAUUUCCAGUAACACUAGAACUAAUACAUGCUCCUGCGUUUAUUAGUUUCGCACAGUCCGUCGCUGAGUCAUGGUAAACAGUUGAUCGACUCGACGUCCCGGAACAGUUUCCGCCCCAUCAGCUUCGAUGGUUGGGUAUUGGCCUACCAUUGCAACAACGGGUAACGAGGAAUUAGGGUUUGAUUUCGGAGAGGGAGCCUGAGAAACGGCUACCACAUCUACGGAUGGCAGCAGGCGCGCAAAUUACCCAAUGCAGACUCUGUGAGGUAGUGACGAGAAAUAAUAAAGCGGGACUUCUGUUUCGCUAUUAUAAUGAGGAAUAACCAAAGGUCAUUCCGAUUAGCAACUGAUGGGAAAGUCUGGUGCCAGCAGCCGCGGUAAUACCAGCGUCAGUAGCAUAUAUUAAAAUUGUUGCAGUUAAAACGUCCGUAGUCUAUACGUCGUCCCAAACUCACUGCAGUCUUCCGUUUUCUUCAUUGAAUGCGGUAGUUUCUGCAGUCACUCCCUUGAUCAAAUUAGGUUGUUCAAGGUAGACCAAGUCUUCAUAUUUUCACAUGGAAUUGGGUGAGGGAACUUAAGAGUUUAAGUUUCUCGUCUUAGGAUCAUCCGGGGUCAUUCGUACUCGUCCGCGAGAGGUGAAAUUCUUGGACCGGACGAAGACGACCAGCAGCGAAAGCAUCUGUCAGGGAUGUUUUCUGCGACNAAGGACGAAGGUCAGGGUAUCGAAGACGAUUAGAUACCGUCGUAG
rnacentral:rRNA from 1 species